rnacentral:lncRNA from 1 species
CCUGCCGCCCCGCUGCAGGAUCCAGGCUCCGCCCCUGCCUCAAGGCUGACCAAUCGCGCGGCACCGGCCUCGGCUGCGUCCAAUCGGAGCGGGGGGCGCUGGCGAUCGCCUGCAGGUCCCGCCUCUGAGGCUGCAGCAUCUUUCAGACCGCGGUCCAGGAGGGGCGGGGCCGCGGGGCGCUAGCUAGGGUCCUGGUGAGCGAGGACCUCCACAUUCCCUCCUGGGGUCUGGGAUGCGGCUCUCCUGGGCCCAUGGUGGGGGGGCGGGUAACCUCAAUCCUGCCCCGCCCACUCAUUCAGUUGUGAAAUUCCCAUCAAUUGUCUUUGAAGAGAUGAAACUAAGAUCCAGAGACUACCUCCAGGUCACACAGGAAGUCGGAGAAUCCAUUCACUCAUCGCAUAUAUUUGGAACACCCACUUGGGGCUGGGAACACGGCUAGGCCCGGAAAUUUAGUGGCAAGCAAGUGGGUAGAAUACAGCCGCUAGUGUGAUCUUUUAAAAGCAUAAAUCCGAUGAUGUCACUCUCAAGCUUAAAGCCACAAUGGAACAACAUUCAAACUCCUUGCCAUCACCCCAGGCCUGUCUGUCUGCCCCAAUCCUAACUAUCUUCCCUCUCCACCCGCCUCAGCCAGCCUCCUGGAUCCCUGCUGUUCCCCCACCAAACUCUUAGCUGGAGGCUUUUUGUUCCUUUGCUUAAAGUCCUUUCCCCCAGACUUUCACUUGCCUUGGUCCCUCUUGUCCCCUUGCAGGACUCAGCACCCCUCCCCACACUCUUGAGCAUGUCACCUUUAUUUUCUUCAUUUCCCUUCACACUGUGAGAUUGCCUGGGUCAUUUAUUGUCUUAUUACAUUGGCCCCCUAGAGAAUGAGUGCCACCCAUGCAGGAACCACAUGGGCCUCAUUUCCUGGUGAGUGUCAUCAGAAACUGGUGCUUGAUGAGUAUAUAUUGGACUCUUGUGAGUAGGGGUUGCAAAGGGCCUUGAUGAGUCCCAGGAAGUGAAAGACCAGAG